CCGUAAGUAAUUAUUUCAUUCCCACAUUCGUCACACUUCUGUAGCGAUAGUCUACAUGUCGUGUUUACUGUUUCCAAAUAUUUCGUACUUUGCGUACACUUGAGAAAUGUGGAAUAUGUCGUCAUAAUUCCACGUAUCACUCGCAAUAAGAUAUUGUAUUCACAAAAAUGAACUACAGUCUUUCAUUCUGCUUUACAAUAGUUUCAGCGGGGAAAAAGACCCUGCCAUUUUUCAUACGUUCCAAUAAACUGGAAAAUCAUGUAAUACUUCACAUUUAUCUUGAAACGUACUUGAAAUAUAGUUCAUAUUAGACAAGUCGUUUUAGUUGUUACAAGCUACUUGGCUAUAGUGUGAACGAGGCUUGAGUAUAAUUCACCCCUUGCAAAUAGUAAACAGUACAGGAUCGCGGCGGAUAUCGAUUAUCUAUGAUCCCAACCAUGCCGUGGUAUGGUUGCUGUACUGCGAUAGCUCCAAAAUGCGAUGGAACAGAGAAGAAGCCCCGAAAUAAAGUGGCUCUGAAACCCGGUCAUUCGCUUAUGGACUGGGUCAGGCUCAGUCACUCUGGUGUGGAUCUGACGGGGGUGGGCGGUGUGCUUCAGGAUGUGACUCCAAAACAGCUGGCCGCACACAGCAAGAAAAACGAUGCCUGGAUAGCAAUUAAAGGUAGAGUUUACAAUGUGACACAUUACAUGAACUUUCAUCCAGGUGGCGACACAGAGCUGAUGCGAGGUGUGGGUCAAGAUGGCACAACCCUCUUCAGUCAGAUCCAUCCAUGGGUGAACUUCGAAUCACUGCUGCAGAAGUGUCUUGUGGGCCACUUAGUGUCACAUGAAAGCACAGGGGCAUCACCUGUCCUGAACAAGGCCACAAGAUUAAUUGGGAAACUGUUCACCAAGAGAGAUCCUCAAGAGAAGACAGUGUCAAUGAAAUGGUUUCAGCAGCUUGCUACAGUGAGUCUGCAGUUUUUCACACGCGGGGAUUUCCCCCAGACUCGAGUGAUGCUAUUCAAAAGCCACAGGGACCUUACUGUGAACCUAAAGCUGGGGAAUGUCAUCCACACGACGCACGUGUUACUAGAGGACAGUGCCUUGUGGCCCUGCAAGGUGAGGACCAACUAUGAAAGUGGUGUGGUGGAGGUGUGUCUCACCAAAGCGAGCCCCAACAUGUGGCACAGAUUGGGUGAACCUCAAGAAGAUGAUGGACAGAAGAAGGAGAUGCUGGAGCAGCUGUAUGACCCCAUGGAGGUUGUGAGUGUGUCCAGUGUGACCCACAACACCAAGCUAAUUGUACUGCGCCACAAACACAAUAUCAUGGAUACCAUUCCCAUCGGCUGCAGUGUGCCAGUGCUUGCCAACAUUGAUGGUGUAGAUGUGGUGCGUUGUUAUACGCCAGUGACCGCAGCGCUCGAUGAGAAAUUCCUGCCGCCUGGCUGGAGUGAGGACUGCUUGUGCCUGAUGGUGAAACAGUAUCCUGAAGGUCUGAUGAGCAGAUUCCUGUGUAGCCUGAAGUUGCAGGAUACCGUGAAUGUGGGUCAAGCCAGUGGGUCGCUAAAGUUGUCCAUGAUGGGUGGGAGAACCAAACUGUGCUUGAUGGCUGCUGGCUCAGGCUUUACGCCUAUGGUGAAGCUUAUCAUCUGGGCCCUCAGCGCUGGCAACAAGAAGAAAUUCCAGGAAGUGUGCCUUCUUUUCUUUAAUAUGACAAGCAGAGACAUCUUGUGGCAGGAUCAGUUAGACAGACUUGCAGCCACAGAUGCAAGAUUCUCUGCUGCAUAUGUAUUGACGGCACCAGAUGACGACUGGUCAGGGCUGACGGGCCAUCUUAAUCUGGAGAUGUUGCAGACCGUGGUGCCUAGCUUUAUUGAACAAAAGACUCAUGAUACCUUUGUGUGUGUCUGUGGUCCUGAUUCAUUCAGGGAGUCAGCCAUGAGAAAUUUUUGCCCUUUGGAACUUGGAAUGAUUGCCCAUAUUCUUUGGGAUUCUUGAGGGUCUUCUGGUGUCUUCAAUGUUCAUAAAUUCUUCCUGCCCUGGAACUUUCUUUCUGGUUACUGGGGGAUAUGGGCUAUCCGGAGGACUUCUACUUUGUCUUUCAAGGCUGAGUGUCAUCACAAGUCAUAUAUCCCUGGUGAGUUCACAGUGGCAUUCUGGAUCGUUGGUCAUGUGACAGUUUUUUGGGCCACAUUGCCUGGUAGGAGUAGUGCCAACCGUCAUACCUCUUGGGAUAUCAGACGAUGGUAACAUUAGAGGAAGAGGUUAAGAAAUGGAUUGAAGCGGUGAUGAUGGCAUGUUGUCAUCUGUCCUGAACAUGAAGGUGAGCUUGGUUUUUGUUGAAGAAUGCAGGAACGAUACCUUCACAGAGAUGGCUCCAGUCCUGGUCUCGGCCGACUGAUGUCACUAUCGCCUUACAACCUGCAUGCUGGCAGUCGACAACUCUGCGAUCUUCUGUGCUCUACAGUCUGGCAAGGGACAUACUUUGCAACAAAGUGACAUUAAAAUUGAAGUACCUAUAAUGGUUCAGAAUAAAAUCAUUGAGAGACUUUGUCCUCAUCAGUCACUGGCUGCCUUCUGAAGGAAACCUGGCAUAUCACUUGUCUUGAGGACUACUCGCCACCUAAAAUACAUGAUCACCAGGGUCAGUCAUGUCAGAGGCAUCCAGGGAGCAAAGUACCAUUUUUAAAUAACUAUCUUCAUGGUUCAAAGUUCUUCAGAAGCUGACAGUCACUCAGUUGAGAAAUUCCCUGAUGACAGAGGCAGCACAGACCUCUGAAACGUCAGUGAACUUCUCCCAGACUACACGGCACAACAACCCAAAUUUCCUGUCAUUUAUGCAGUCCAGAGGUUCAUUAGUUUGUUCUCAAGUGUCCGCCACCAUUUCCUGCUCCGAGUCGGAUGAAUCCUCACCCUUUCACCCUAUUUUCGUAAGAUCGGUUUUUAAUAUUAUUUUCUAGUUAUGUCUUGUUCUUCUUAAUGGUCUCUUCCUUUCAGGCUUGCCAUCCAGAAUUUCUUAUAUCCCAUAUGCCUACUGCAUGUUUCUUGAUUAUUGUAAAUAAUUAAACUAUCAAUAAAAUAACCUUGUAAAAAUGUGUA